rnacentral:rRNA from 1 species
UACGUAGGGAGCAAGCGUUAUCCGGAAUCACUGGGCGUAAAGCGUGCGUAGGUGGCGCGUUAAGUGAGAUGUUAAAUCGUGUGGCUCAACCAUAUCGAUGCAUCUCAUACUGGCGUGCUAGAGGACAGCAGAGGCAAGUGGAAUUUGUAGUGUAGCAGUGAAAUGCGUAGAUAUUACAAGGAACACCAAUGGCGAAGGCAGCUUGCUGGGCUACUCCUGACACUGAGGUACGAAAGCGUGGGGAGCGAACAGG